UNUGGAGUAAAAGGCUAUGGCUCAACCAUAGUGUGCUCUGGAAACUGUCUGACUUGAGUGCAGAAGGGGAGAGUGGAAUUCCAUGUGUAGCGGUGAAAUGCGUAGAUAUAUGGAGGANCACCAGUGGCGAAAGCGGCUCUCUGGUCUGUCACUGACGCUGAGGCUNGAAAGCGUGGGUAGCGAACAGGAUUAGAUACCCUGGUAGUNCACGCCGUAAACGAUGAGUGCUAGGUGUUAGGCCCUUUCCGGGGCUUAGUGCCGGAGCUAACGCAAUAAGCACUCCGCCUGGGGAGUACGACCGCAAGGUUGAAACUCAAAGGAAUUGACGGGGGCCCGCACAAGCGGUGGAGCAUGUGGUUUAAUUCGAAGCAACGCGAAGAACCUUACCAGGUCUUGACAUCCCGAUGCUAUUCUUAGAGAUAGGAAGUUACUUCGGUACAUCGGAGACAGGUGGUGCAUGGUUGUCGUCAGCUCGUGUCGUGAGAUGUUGGGUUAAGUCCCGCAACGAGCGCAACCCUUAUUGUUAGUUGCCAUCAUUAAGUUGGGCACUCUAGCGAGACUGCCGGUAAUAAACCGGAGGAAGGUGGGGAUGACGUCAAAUCAUCAUGCCCCUUAUGACCUGGGCUACACACGUGCUACAAUGGUCGGUACAACGAGUUGCGAGCCGGUGACGGCAAGCUAAUCUCUGAAAGCCGAUCUCAGUUCGGAUUGGAGGCUGCAACUCGCCUCCAUGAAGUCGGAAUCGCUAGUAAUCGCGGAUCAGCACGCCGCGGUGAGUACGUUCCCGGGCCUUGUACACACCGCCCGUCACACCACGAGAGUUUGUAACACCCGAAGUCGGUGAGGUAACCUUUUAGGGGCCAGCC
rnacentral:rRNA from 1 species